AAAUCUCAAUCCCAAA
rnacentral:sRNA from 1 species